AUAUCAUAUUCGUGGUUGUUUUUUUUUUCUGAUCAAAACAUAUAUUUAUUUUGCGUUACAAAAAAAUUGCAUUCACAAGAUUCGAUCCUGAUUAACUGGCGGCCUACUAGUGAUUUUCGUUCGGUGACGCACAAAUCAAACAAAGAAAAUUUUCGUCAAGCUACAAAGAAAUACGAACACACACACAUAUAUAUAUAUAUAUAUAUAUACAUAUACAAUAUCAAACAACAAAAGUCACAGGCGCGACUGGCCCGAAAGUAAUUCUAUAAAGUACACACACAUUAUGUUCAAUAGAUAUGGGAGGAUUCCUGGAUAAGCCGAAAACAGCAAAGCAUAAUGAACAAGGCGAAGGCAAUAAGCUGCUCUUUGGCGUCAGCUCGAUGCAGGGCUGGCGCUGUGAGAUGGAGGACGCGUAUUAUGCUCAAGCCCGUCUAGGCAAUGCAUUGGAGGAGUGGAGCUUUUUUGCGGUAUUUGAUGGCCAUGCGGGCUGCAAAGUAUCGGAGCACUGUGCCAAGCAUUUGCUAGACAGUAUCAUUACCACAGAGGAGUUCAAGAACGGCGACCAUGUGAAGGGUAUACGUACCGGUUUCCUGCGCAUUGACGAGGUGAUGCGACAACUGCCCGAGUUUACCCAAGAGGAAGAGAAGUGCGGCGGCACUACAGCUGUCUGUGCAUUCAUCAGCUCAACGCAGGUGUAUAUAGCCAAUUGCGGGGAUUCGCGUGCGGUGUUGUGUCGCCAGGGCGUUCCGGUGUUUGCCACCCAGGAUCACAAGCCCAUUUUGCCGGAAGAAAAGGAGCGUAUUCACAAUGCUGGCGGCAGUGUAAUGAUAAAGCGUGUCAAUGGAACACUGGCCGUGUCGCGUGCUCUUGGCGACUAUGACUUUAAGAAUGUGAAGGAGAAAGGGCAGUGCGAGCAGUUGGUCUCACCGGAACCGGAAAUCUUUUGCCAAAGCCGCCAGGACACCGACGAGUUCUUAGUACUCGCCUGUGACGGCAUCUGGGAUGUCAUGAGCAACGAGGAUGUAUGCAGUUUCAUAUACUCGAGGCUGAAAGUGACCACCGACCUGGUAAACAUUGCCAAUCAGGUGGUCGACACCUGUUUGCACAAGGGUAGUCGUGAUAACAUGAGCAUCAUAAUAAUUGCUUUCCCCGGAGCACCAAAGCCAACUGAAGAAGCGAAAGAGGCUGAGCGACGGUUGGAGAAACAAAUUGAGAAGAUCGCAAGAGAGGAGAUCGAGAGUAAUCAGAUCACAGAUUAUGUGGAGCUAUUAAAGUGUCUACAAGACAAAGGUGACAUUCUAGGUCUUCCACCCGGCGGCGGAUUGCAGUCCAAAUAUCACGUUAUCGAGCGCACAUUCAAGGAGGUUUUUCCAGAUAGUCCAUGUGAACUGUAUGCAUAUGAUGAGCUAUGAAUUUUUUAAUGCUAAAUAUUGUUCAUUUCUAAAUCAACAACAACAACCAAAACAACCAACCAACCAACAAGAGAACAAAUGAAACUAAAACCUUAAAAUCCGUAUGCUCUAACUAGUCCAACGCAUUAAAUUGCGAAACAGUCAACAAAUGCAACAACAAAAAUAAUUUAACAAUAAUACCAGAAACAACAAAAAAAAAAAACACACACACACAACACACACCACAAAUGUACACUCCACACACACACAUAAAGUACACCAAAACCGUUUUCUACUUUGAUAAAAAACUAAAAAACCUACUAAUAAUAUAAAAACCCAUUAUUUUAUAGUUCAAAUGAAAGCCAGUCCUAAACACAACUAGAUGAACCUUGUAUUACGUAGAUCUUAUUUAGAUCGUACUUAUAGAAAGGAGCGAACUUAAGCAGACCUCAGAGCUAAAAACCGAUACCACAAAAUAGAAUCGAAUCAAACAGGGUUUGGCUGAAAGCCAACACAAUAUUUCACACGCUGACAACUUUCCUUAUCUAACUACCUACAUACUACAAUUGUUACUAGAGAUACAAAUACAAGUAUAGAUACAAUAGCGAUACCAUAUGGAUAACUCCAUGUUAGUCAGUGGUCAUCUAAACUUUCCGUGUCACCUCAUACUUAUUAUGAAUUCAGAAGAACUGUUGACUCGCCUUUGUUUCCCGCCUCCGAACUGUAUAGAAAGUUCAGCUGUGUAAAAAAUUUACCAAAAAAAAAAACGAAAAAAAAAAA